UUACCCAUCGCUACUUUGCAGAGAAUGAUCUUGCUAAGCUAAUCGGCCAAUGGCGAGACAGCCAAAUGUAUUAAAUGCGGCAAAACAUAGCAAACAAGUUCGAAUAAUACUAACUUGUCUUGCCACGUAAAGAGGAUAAAUCCUAAUAAACAGUCAGUGAAUUGCCACAAAGGCAACAGCCGUCAAUUGUGUCAUAUAUUGGGAAAAUUAUGAAAUGUCGAACCGAAAACUACUACAUUGGUUCAGACAUGCGCUGAAUCGGAUUUCGAAUUGCACAACGCUGUUUUGGCCACUGAAAGUUCAUCGACGAAACAAAUUUUCUGAAAAUUUUCAAACUCAAUAUGCACAGCAAUUGAGGAAUGGGGAGUUUUAGGAAAUGUCACUGCUAUGAUAACAGAUAACGCCAAAAAUAUGAUAAGGUCAUGUGAGAUUUUGCAAAUAAUACCCUGCUUUGCGCAUUCAAUUAAUUUGACAGUCCAGGAUUGUUUGGUAUCCGAGAACAUGAAACCACCCAUUUCUGAAAAGUGUAAGCGCAUUGUUUCGUUGUUCAACAGUAGCACAUUUGCGUAUGCAGUAUUUAGAGAGGCUAAGGAUUGCAAACGCCCAUAUGGUUCGAAACAAGAGUGUCCAUCCUGUUGGAAUAGUGCCUUUUAAAUGGUAAACAGGGUUAAUGCCGCUAACAUCGAAUGAAAUAUCCAUUUUGAAGGGUUUGAAGGCAAUACUUUCACCCUUGGAGCAUGCAACGGUAUUCCCUUCGAGAACGUCAGUGACAGUGAUUCCGGUUAAUUGUGUUAUUUUACACAAUAUGUCAGCCAUGAAAACUACGCUCCAGAAUAAGUUGGGUCGAGAUGUCUGUUAUGACAUACUUUCAACGGGUCAAUAAAAGAUUGGUCCCUUAUAAAAACCGUACAGUGACACGAAUGAUAAGACCCUCGCUUUAAAAAGGAAGGAUUUUGGAAUUAUUAUUUCUUACAAGGAGUUGAAUUGUUAGAGGAGGAACUGUCGCUUAUCAAUGCUCCAACAAAAUCGUCUACAUCUUCAAGCCCGCCAAUACCAGAAUCCAGAGCAGAGUGAAGCCUGUACAAAACCCUUUCCAAUAGAAGCUUUCAACAGAUAUCAAAUGACACUGCAUUCAGUCAAUGCGAUUUGAAAUACAAGGCACGACUUGUGAGCGAAAAGGGAAGCGAAGCUUUAUAUGAUCUUAUUUUUAAACAAAAACAAGAGAAAAUGCUGUGGUCGAGUUCCGCGACUAUCAGAUACCCAUUACUCAGCUAGUGUGAAUGCGAACGCGAAAUUUCAUAAUUUUUCUGAGAUAUUGAUGAAAAAAGAAAAAGAGUAUACAAAUUGUUUAAAAUUGUGGGCCGGUUUUGCGGCAUUAGCUCAUCAUAAAUUUUUGUUAUUAUUUUUAUCGCUCUUAUACAUUGCUCUGUGCAGCAAUAGAUUUUGCAUUCCCCCUUAUGCUAUGUUCCUCUCUCUCAAUAGAGAUCUGUUUUAAUCUUUAUACUGUAGAACUUGCCCAUUUUCCUUCCGUUACAAAUUAAGUUGAUCGCACCGGUACUGCUGUGAUACACUUUAACUUUUAAUCGGUUCGGUACGGGCACUGCUGCCGUUCGUUAUACCCUUCAUCCCUGUGUUGCAAAAUAUAUUUAAAUAAAACUGAAAUAUUAAUUUAAACAUUAA